rnacentral:rRNA from 1 species
AGAGUUUGAUCCUGGCUCAGGACGAACGCUGGCGGCGUGCCUAAUACAUGCAAGUCGAGCGGACUUGAGAAGAAGCUUGCUUCUUCGAUGGUUAGCGGCGGACGGGUGAGUAACACGUAGGCAACCUGCCCUGAAGACUGGGAUAACUACCGGAAACGGUAGCUAAUACCGGAUAAUUCGUUUUCCUGCAUGGGAAAGCG